rnacentral:rRNA from 1 species
UACGGGGGGGGCAAGCGUUGUUCGGAAUUACUGGGCGUAAAGCGUGCGUAGGUGGUUUCUUAAGUCUGCUGUGAAAGCCCUGGGCUCAACCUGGGAAUGGCAGUGGAUACUGGGGAGCUAGAGUGCGGUAGAGGAGGGUGGAAUUCCCGGUGUAGCGGUGAAAUGCGUAGAGAUCGGGAGGAACAUCAGUGGCGAAGGCGGCCCUCUGGACCAGCACUGACACUGAGGCACGAAAGCGUGGGGAGCAAACAGG